ensembl:lncRNA
CCCCCUUUCCGUGGUCUGGGCCCCCGAGAAGCAGAAGAGAGGCGGCCUGGCACCCCCUCUGUCGGUCCUGCUCUCUGCAGUUGGAAGCCUUGUGGGUGGGUGAAAACCUGGGUAUCAUCUGACGCCUGCACACCCUGGCGUCUGCUUCUCAGCCCGGCCCCUGGUCCUCACCCAGGCCUGGCUGGCUGUAGCCUGUGCUGUCCACACUGCAGGGAGACUGGAGGGGAGCGGGGAAGAAGGAACCCUGAGAGCUCCACUGCUGGCCAGUAGAGGAGACCAGAGUCAGAGGAGUUAGUCAGGGGAGGCCUGUGGUUCCAACUUCCUGGCAGGGCUGGUAGGAGCUCAGAAGCUGGGGAUCUGCGUAGGCUGGAGCAGCCUGGAGGGCUUCCUGGAGGGGAAGGGCCAUGAACAUCGAGAAGCAUUUGAGAAAGAGGGAGGGUAGGGGCAGAGAUCCUUGCUUGGAGUAUCUACCUGCUCUAGGGCUGCUGGCUUCUCUAGCUGCUCUGCUGUGUGGCCCUGGAUAAACUCUUGGCCUCUCUGCCAGGCAGGGUAUGGCACAGAUGUAACCCACACUUCCCAGAGCAGGAGGCCGGUCUCUGGGCACAGGUCCCCUCAGCCACCCUCCUUCGCCUAACUGUCCCUUUUUAGGCUGUCAUCUGUCCUGCCUAAGGAGAGGGUGGAGGGCUUUCUCCCAUCCAAGUUCAGACAGAAUUUGAACUCAAACCCUUGCUCUGCCCCUUGGAGCUGGGUGACUCUCCUCAGCCUGGUUCCUCCUCUGUCAAGCAGAUCAACAGUAGUACCUGAGGGGAGUUUUGAGGAUUAAGUAACUCAGGCGGCAUUGGGUCAGUAGGCGCUCACUCCCAUGCUCUCGUUUGCACAGUCUACCCUGUGGGGGGAGGGUAUUGGUAACACCUCUUUUCCCUCCUCUGGGGAGCUAGGCUGAAUGUGCUUUGAGUUGGGCCGCCCUAGCUGUGUGUUUUGUGGGUCCUGGUUCUGAGAUGGGGAGACCAGGAAUCAGGGGGCCAAAGUUCUGGAUAGUUCCCUGGCCUCUGGGCCCCACCUGUAAGGUGGCUAGGAGACUUUGGGGUGAGGGACAAGGACACUCUGGUUUUUAAGGGUUCAUUGAAGGUCAGUGCUGACAGGCUGUAUGUAAAUGUGGGCAAAUGAAGAUGCAAAGACCAUAGCGUGUACUUGGGGCGGGGGGCGGCAGAACCGAGGCCUGGGUUAGGGCUCUGGGGAGGCCUAGAGUCCCCACUGCCCAGUGCAUGUAGGUAAUUAGGCUCUUGAGCGGUAAUUAGAAGCUUAGAAGCCUUUCUGGGCCAGGAGUGUCAGCCUCUAGCCGCAGAAGUGCCUGGGGGAGGAGGCUCCCCAUUAGCCUCCUCUAGCUGCAGCCCGGCCCCGCCAAACCGCUAGACGAGAUUUCCGGUCCCACUGAGCCAUUGGGGGCAGGAAGAGCCAGUGAGUUGCUCUCGUUUAGUUUUUAGCAUUUUUCAGCCAUUCAGCUCACCCCUCCCCUUAGGGCAGGGGUGCUGAAGGCUGGGGGAACCCUAGAGGUGGGGGUUGGGCAGCAAACACUGGAGCCAAGGUGGGACCCUCCUUCCUGCCCUCUCCUCUGACCCCCAGGGAGCUUCAGCCUUCUGCAAGGGUCUUGUGCCCGAUUCUGUAGCUGCCCGACCCUGAGACAUCUGUGUAGCAGGUCUGAUAAGGGCUCCGGGACCACCCGUCUGGCUCAGUGGGAACCUUCCAGCCCACGGCCUGGUGUGGGGCUAGAGGCGUCACACAGCCUGGGUGCCCCUUGCAGAACCAGAGGAGCGGCUGAUUUUACUGCUGCCAAACCAGCUCAGCUGCUGGCGGGCCCCGCCCUCCUCAGGUGCACUGCCCUUUCAGAGGGGCGUGCCCAGGCGGAAACUCAGUUCUGCUUGAGUCUGUCCCAAGACCUGUCAGAAACUUCCGGGCUGGCUGGGUUCAAAGCCUCUGUGGACCCCCACCUUGAACCUUCCUCAGCCAUAAUUAAUUCUCUGUACCAUAAUUUGAAAUCCUAAUCCUGGCCUGAUCUAGUCACUUCCACCUGCAGUCCUCAGUUCCAGCUCCCCUCCCCCUCUUCCUGGAAGCCUUCCCCAGUGGCCCCUGUCCCUGUCCCCCCUCCCCACCUCCGUCUUUCCCAUCUACUGAGGCACUGACCUGGCCGUGAUUGACCACCUGGUAGCCAGAGGGCAUCAGCAAGGAUGCAUUGGGUUGGGGGCCUCAGGCCAGCACGGGGGAGAGACAUUGAGAAGCAUUCUUGGGGUUUCAAGAGCAGGACCUCCUGGACCCUGUCCCCGCCAUCCAUCCUGGCUUCCCACACAUGGGACUGAACGUUGCCCAGGAAGGCUUCUGAAACAACGGCUGAAAGAAUGAGAGGGCAAGGUGAACCUGCCUGUUACCUCCCGGGGCUGCCCCUGCCCCACAGAGGCUCCAGCUGGGUCCUGUGGCAGGAGCAGAGUCUCUGGGGGCCAUGGCCCUGAGUCCCCCCAGGUCUCUUGUGCACUUCCCUUUUCAGUGGGUAUUUUUAGCUGGGUGUAAACAGCUACUGAAGGCUCCCACGCCCCAUUAGGCAGUGGAGUUUUGGUGUGGGGGGCAGGGUGGGAGCCCUUUGACCUACUGUGGCCCUCAGCACACGUUUGGCUCUGGGGGUGUGCAGCUGCCCCAAGGCAGGGAGAGGGCAGCCUUGGAGUUCAUGGGCUCCCCCUCCCUGCCAGCCUGGGUUCCCAAGAAAGGCCUGCCUGAAGCUGCGGCCACUGACCUCAGCGCUUGGGCACAAUGCCCAGCCUGUUCCCGGGACCCCAGCACAAGGGCUGCUGGGAGCAGGGUUUGGGGCAGGAAGUCAGAGUGAAAGCCCCCUGUGCUCCAGCCCUGUGGGGGUGGGGUGGCAGCUGCUGUCCCUGUGGGGUUAAAUAUAGUCCUGGCAGUUAUGGGACCUCAGCAUGAGCAGCCCAGCUUCCCUUGUCGUUUGUUGGUUCAUUCAUUCAUUCAGGCUCACUCACUGAGCAGCCACUUUGGGCCCAGUCCCUGCCGGGACAUGAGUCAGCCCCAGCCUUCUUCCUGCAGGGCUUCCAUGCAGGGUCAGUGAGAACACUGGAGCAAGAGCUGUGAGAGGCCAGGGAGGCCCAGAGCAGCCACCACAGCCAGGGGACCAUGGAAGGUUCCUGGCACAUGUGGUUUUCAAAACGUUACUUAUUUUCUUACUAAUCCUAUUUUUAGGGGGAAGUUAAUAGGUACAUGUGGUUAAAAAAAUAAAAGUCAAAAGAACAAAAUAGCAAAUGUACAAUAAAAAGUAAGUUUCCCUUGAAUUUGAUACUUACUCCUCCUUCCCAUUCCCAGAAGCAACCUAUUAUCAGUUUCUUCGAUCUUUCAGAAAUAAUCUGUAGGAGUUCCCUCGUGGCUCAGUGGGUUAAGGAUCUGAUAUUGUCACUGCCGUGGCACGAGUUUGAUCCUUGGCC